rnacentral:rRNA from 1 species
UACGUAGGGUGCAGGCGUUAAUCGGAAUUACUGGGCGUAAAGCGUGCGCAGGCGGUGAUGUAAGACAGAUGUGAAAUCCCCGGGCUCAACCUGGGAACUGCGUCUGAUACUGGAUGGCUUGAAUCCGGGAGAGGGAUGCGGAAUUCCAGGUGUAGCGGUGAAAUGCGUAGAUAUCUGGAGGAACACCGGUGGCGAAGGCGGCAUCCUGGACCGGCAUUGACGCUGAGGAGCGAAAGCCAGGGGAGCAAACGGGG